rnacentral:lncRNA from 1 species
UAGACAUGUUAAAUAGCUUUGGGGAGACAUCAGACAUGUUAGCAUGGUUAUUCCUGAAUUAGAUGGUGCUCUGUAGACUGUAGUUAUCUUUCAUUAUUUUUCAUCAAAUGUACUUCAUCAAAAAAGAAAACCAUGAUUAAUGUACUUCAUCAAAUGGUAUAUACUGAUUAGUGAUUACUGAUUACUGAACAAAGGGAUUUUUGGUCCAAUUAUAGGU